UAGGGAAUAUUGCGCAAUGGGCGAAAGCGUGACGCAGCAAUCCCGCGUGGUGGAUGAAGGAUUUCGGUCUGUAAACACCUGUCGGUGGGGAAGAUAAUGACGGUACCCACAGAGGAAGCACCGGCUAACUACGUG
rnacentral:rRNA from 1 species